UACAGAGGGUGCGAGCGUUAAUCGGAAUCACUGGGCGUAAAGGGCGCGUAGGCGGUUUUCUAAGAGUGAUGUGAAAGCCCCGGGCUUAACCUGGGAACGGCAUCGCUGACUGGGAGGCUGGAGUACUGUAGAGGGUAGUGGAAUUUCCGGUGUAGCAGUGAAAUGCGUAGAGAUCGGAAGGAACACCGGUGGCGAAGGCGGCUACCUGGACAGAGACUGACGCUGAGGCGCGAGAGCGUGGGGAGCAAACAGG
rnacentral:rRNA from 1 species